UGAUUAUGGCUCAGAGCGAACGCUGGCGGCAGGCCUAACACAUGCAAGUCGAACGGAUCCUUCGGGAUUAGUGGCGGACGGGUGAGUAACACGUGGGAACGUGCCUUUUGGUUCGGAACAACUCAGGGAAACUUGAGCUAAUACCGAAUGUGCCCUUCGGGGGAAAGAUUUAUCGCCAUUAGAGCGGCCCGCGUCUGAUUAGCUAGUUGGUGAGGUAAAGGCUCACCAAGGCUACGAUCAGUAGCUGGUCUGAGAGGAUGAUCAGCCACAUUGGGACUGAGACACGGCCCAAACUCCUACGGGAGGCAGCAGUGGGGAAUCUUGCGCAAUGGGCGAAAGCCUGACGCAGCCAUGCCGCGUGAAUGAUGAAGGUCUUAGGAUUGUAAAAUUCUUUCACCGGGGACGAUAAUGACGGUACCCGGAGAAGAAGCCCCGGCUAACUUCGUGCCAGCAGCCGCGGUAAUACGAAGGGGGCUAGCGUUGCUCGGAAUUACUGGGCGUAAAGGGAGCGUAGGCGGAUAGUUUAGUCAGAGGUGAAAGCCCAGGGCUCAACCUUGGAAUUGCCUUUGAUACUGGCUAUCUUGAGUAUGGGAGAGGUUAGCGGAACUCCGAGUGUAGAGGUGAAAUUCGUAGAUAUUCGGAAGAACACCAGUGGCGAAGGCGGCUAACUGGCCCAUUACUGACGCUGAGGCUCGAAAGCGUGGGGAGCAAACAGGAUUAGAUACCCUGGUAGUCCACGCCGUAAACGAUGAGUGCUAGUUGUCGGCAUGCAUGCAUGUCGGUGACGCAGCUAACGCAUUAAGCACUCCGCCUGGGGGAGUACGGUCGCAAGAUUAAAACUCAAUGAAUUGACGG
rnacentral:rRNA from 1 species